GACGAACGCUGGCGGCGUGCUUAACACAUGCAAGUCGAACGGAAAGGCCCUGCUUUUGUGGUGUGCUCGAGUGGCGAACGGGUGAGUAACACGUGAGUAACCUGCCCUUGACUUUGGGAUAACUUCAGGAAACUGGGGCUAAUACCGGAUAGGAGCUCCUGCUGCAUGGUGGGGGUUGGAAAGUUUCGGCGGUUGGGGAUGGACUCGCGGCUUAUCAGCUUGUUGGUGGGGUAGUGGCUUACCAAGGCUUUGACGGGUAGCCGGCCUGAGAGGGUGACCGGGCACAUUGGGACUGAGAUACGGCCCAGAGUCCUACGGGAGGCAGCAGUGGGGAAUAUUGCACAAUGGGCGGAAGCCUGAUGCAGAAACGCCGCGUGCGGGAUGACGGCCUUCGGGUUGUAAACCGCUUUCGCCUGUGACGAAGCGUGAGUGACGGUAAUGGGUAAAGAAGCACCGGCUAACUACGUG
rnacentral:rRNA from 1 species